AGUGAACGCUGGCGGUAGGCCUAACACAUGCAAGUCGAACGGCAGCACAGUAAGAGCUUGCUCUUACGGGUGGCGAGUGGCGGACGGGUGAGGAAUACAUCGGAAUCUACUUUUUCGUGGGGGAUAACGUAGGGAAACUUACGCUAAUACCGCAUACGACCUACGGGUGAAAGCAGGGGAUCUUCGGACCUUGCGCGAUUGAAUGAGCCGAUGUCGGAUUAGCUAGUUGGCGGGGUAAAGGCCCACCAAGGCGACGAUCCGUAGCUGGUCUGAGAGGAUGAUCAGCCACACUGGAACUGAGACACGGUCCAGACUCCUACGGGAGGCAGCAGUGGGGAAUAUUGGACAAUGGGCACAAGCCUGAUCCAGCCAUACCGCGUGGGUGAAGAAGGCCUUCGGGUUGUAAAGCCCUUUUGUUGGGAAAGAAAAGCAGCAGGUUAAUACCCCGCUGUUCCGACGGUACCCAAAGAAUAAGCACCGGCUAACUUCGUG
rnacentral:rRNA from 1 species